CCUACGGGCGGCAGCAGUGGGGAAUAUUGGACAAUGGGGGCAACCCUGAUCCAGCCAUGCCGCGUGUGUGAAGAAGGCCCUCGGGUUGUAAAGCACUUUCAGUGAGGAAGAACGCCUGGUGGUUAAUACCCAUCAGGAAAGACAUCACUCACAGAAGAAGCACCGGCUAACUCCGUGCCAGCAGCCGCGGUAAUACGGAGGGUGCGAGCGUUAAUCGGAUUUACUGGGCGUAAAGCGCGCGUAGGUGGCUUGAUAAGCCGGUUGUGAAAGCCCCGGGCUCAACCUGGGAACGGCAUCCGGAACUGUCAAGCUAGAGUGCAGGAGAGGAAGGUAGAAUUCCCAGUGUAGCGGUGAAAUGCGUAGAGAUCGGGAGGAAUACCAGUGGCGAAGGCGGCCUUCUGGACUGAAACUGACACUGAGGUGCGAAAGCGUGGGUAGCAAACAGGAUUAGAUACCCCAGUAGUC
rnacentral:rRNA from 1 species